CAACAGGGAAGACUUGCUCCUUUGACGUUAGCGGCGGACGGGUGAGUAACACGUGGGUAACCUACCUAUAAGACUGGGAUAACUUCGGGAAACCGGAGCUAAUACCGGAUAAUAUUUCGAACCGCAUGGUUCGAUAGUGAAAGAUGGUUUUGCUAUCACUUAUAGAUGGACCCGCGCCGUAUUAGCUAGUUGGUAAGGUAACGGCUUACCAAGGCGACGAUACGUAGCCGACCUGAGAGGGUGAUCGGCCACACUGGAACUGAGACACGGUCCAGACUCCUACGGGAGGCAGCAGUAGGGAAUCUUCCGCAAUGGGCGAAAGCCUGACGGAGCAACGCCGCGUGAGUGAUGAAGGUCUUCGGAUCGUAAAACUCUGUUAUUAGGGAAGAACAUACGUGUAAGUAACUAUGCACGUCUUGACGGUACCUAAUCAGAAAGCCACGGCUAACUACGUGCCAGCAGCCGCGGUAAUACGUAGGUGGCAAGCGUUAUCCGGAAUUAUUGGGCGUAAAGCGCGCGUAGGCGGUUUUUUAAGUCUGAUGUGAAAGCCCACGGCUCAACCGUGGAGGGUCAUUGGAAACUGGAAAACUUGAGUGCAGAAGAGGAAAGUGGAAUUCCAUGUGUAGCGGUGAAAUGCGCAGAGAUAUGGAGGAACACCAGUGGCGAAGGCGACUUUCUGGUCUGUAACUGACGCUGAUGUGCGAAAGCGUGGGGAUCAAACAGGAUUAGAUACCCUGGUAGUCCACGCCGUAACGAUGAGUGCUAAGUGUUAUGGGGGUUUCCCGCCCCUUAGUGCUGCAGCUAACGCAUUAGCACUCCGCCCUGGGGGAGUACGACCGGCAAGGUUUGGAACUCAAAGAAUUUGACGGGGCACCGCACAGCCGUUGAGCCAAUGUGAUUUUAAUUCCGCAAAGAC
rnacentral:rRNA from 1 species